UACGUAGGGGGCAAGCGUUGUCCGGAUUCAUUGGGCGUAAAGAGCGUGUAGGCGGCCAGGUAGGUCGGUUGUGAAAACUGGAGGCUCAACCUUCAGAGGUCGACCGAAACCAUCUGGCUAGAGUCCGGGAGAGGAGAGUGGAAUUCCUGGUGUAGCGGUGAAAUGCGCAGAUAUCAGGAGGAACACCGGUGGCGAAGGCGGGUCUCUGGGCCGAUAUUGACGCUGAGGAGCGAAAGCGUGGGGAGCGAACAGG
rnacentral:rRNA from 1 species